rnacentral:rRNA from 1 species
UACAGAGGUCCCAAGCGUUGUUCGGAUUCACUGGGCGUAAAGGGCGCGCAGGCGGCUAUCCAAGUCAGGCGUGAAAGCCCCGGGCUUAACCUGGGAGGUGCGUCUGGGACUGGGUGACUAGAGUCCGGUAGGGGAGUGUGGAAUUCCCGGUGUAGCGGUGAAAUGCGCAGAUAUCGGGAGGAACACCAGUAGCGAAGGCGACACUCUGGGCCGGUACUGACGCUGAGGAGCGAAAGCGUGGGGAGCAAACAGG